GUUUGAAUGUGUGUGACGGCCGGAGUGUGUGUUUUCCCCCUUUUUAAAAGACAAUAGCUUGACUGCCUAGCGGGCAGGGAACGCAUUACAGCCGGUGGGGCUGGGAUUUUAAGUUUGCUUGACUGCCUAGCGGGCAGGGAACGCAUUACAGCCGGUGGGGCUGGGAUUUUACAGCCGGUGGGGCUGGGAUUUUAAGAUAGCUUGACUGCCUAGCGGGCAGGGAACGCAUUACAGCCGG